rnacentral:rRNA from 1 species
UACGAAGGGUGCAAGCGUUACUCGGAAUUACUGGGCGUAAAGCGUGCGUAGGUGGUUUGUUAAGUCUGUUGUGAAAGCCCCGGGCUCAACCUGGGAAUGGCAAUGGAUACUGGCAGGCUAGAGUGCGGUAGAGGGUAGUGGAAUUCCCGGUGUAGCGGUGAAAUGCGUAGAGAUCGGGAGGAACACCAGUGGCGAAGGCGGCUACCUGGACCAGCACUGACACUGAGACACGAAAGCGUGGGGAGCAAACAGG